rnacentral:rRNA from 1 species
GACGAACGCUGGCGGCGUGCUUAAUACAUGCAAGUCAACUGAACUUAAGGUAGUAAUACUUUAAGGGAGGUGGCGCACGGGUGAGUAACACGUAGGUAAUCUGCUUUUAGGUCUGACAUAAUUCCGCGAAAGCGGGACUAACUUCAGAUGAUGCAGCGGCUCGACAUCGAGACAGUUGUUAAAUCUUCGGAGCCUAAAGAUGAGCCUGCGUCUGAUUAGGUAGUUGGCGGAGUAAAGCCCACCAAGCCUGCGAUCAGUAGCUGGUCUGAGAGGAUGAUCAGCCACACUGGAACUGAGACACGGUCCAGACUCCUACGGGAGGCAGCAGUAAGGAAUAUUGCUCAAUGGCCGAAAGGCUGAAGCAGCAACGCCGCGUGGAGGAUGAAAUACUUUUGUAUGUAAACUCCUGUAAGAAGGGAAAAUAUUUCGAUUUAUCGGAAUUGAUUGUACCUUCAGAGUAAGCACCGGCUAACUACGUGCCAG